GAUGAACGCUGGCGGCGUGCCUAAUACAUGCAAGUCGAGCGAACGGACGAGAAGCUUGCUUCUCUGAUGUUAGCGGCGGACGGGUGAGUAACACGUGGAUAACCUACCUAUAAGACUGGGAUAACUUCGGGAAACCGGAGCUAAUACCGGAUAAUAUUUUGAACCGCAUGGUUCAAAAGUGAAAGACGGUCUUGCUGUCACUUAUAGAUGGAUCCGCGCUGCAUUAGCUAGUUGGUAAGGUAACGGCUUACCAAGGCAACGAUGCAUAGCCGACCUGAGAGGGUGAUCGGCCACACUGGAACUGAGACACGGUCCAGACUCCUACGGGAGGCAGCAGUAGGGAAUCUGCCGCAAUAGGCGAAAGCCUGACGGAGCGACGCCGCGUGAGUGAUGAAGGUCUUCGGAUCGUAAAACUCUGUUAUUAGGGAAGAACAUAUGUGUAAGUAACUGUGCACAUCUUGACGGUACCUAAUCAGAAAGCCACGGCUAACUACGUG
rnacentral:rRNA from 1 species